UACGUAGGGUGCGAGCGUUGUCCGGAAUUAUUGGGCGUAAAGAGCUUGUAGGUGGUUUGUCGCGUCUGCUGUGAAAAUCCGAGGCUCAACCUCGGACUUGCAGUGGGUACGGGCAGACUAGAGUGUGGUAGGGGAGACUGGAAUUCCUGGUGUAGCGGUGGAAUGCGCAGAUAUCAGGAGGAACACCGGUGGCGAAAGCGCUCAUCUGGCCCAAUACUGACGCUGAGGCGCGAAAGCUAGGGGAGCAAACGGG
rnacentral:rRNA from 1 species